GAUGAACGCUAGCGGCAGGCUUAAUACAUGCAAGUCAAGGGGGUAGCAAUACAACCGGCGCACGGGUGAGUAACGCGUACACAACAUACCAUAUACUGGAGUAUAGCUUCGGGAAACUGAAGGUAAUCCUCCAUAACAUUGCGAGAAGGCAUCUAAUUGCAAUUAAAGUUUCGACGGUAUAUGAUUGGUGUGCGUUUGAUUAGCUAGUUGGUAGGGUAACGGCCUACCAAGGCGACGAUCAAUAGCUGGCGUGAGAGCGCGACCAGCCACACUGGAACUGAGACACGGUCCAGACUCCUACGGGAGGCAGCAGUAGGGAAUAUUGGACAAUGGCGAAAGACCUGAUCCAGCCAUGCCGCGUGAUAGAUGAAGG
rnacentral:rRNA from 1 species